CCUACGGGUGGCUGCAGUGAGGAAUAUUGGACAAUGGGCGCAAGCCUGAUCCAGCCAUGCCGCGUGCAGGAUGACGGUCCUAUGGAUUGUAAACUGCUUUUGCACAGGAAGAAACACUACUUCGUGAAGUAGCUUGACGGUACUGUGAGAAUAAGGAUCGGCUAACUCCGUGCCAGCAGCCGCGGUAAUACGGAGGAUCCAAGCGUUAUCCGGAAUCAUUGGGUUUAAAGGGUCCGUAGGCGGUUUAAUAAGUCAGUGGUGAAAUCUGGUCGCUCAACGAUCAAACGGCCAUUGAUACUGUUAAACUUGAAUUAUUUGGAAGUAACUAGAAUAUGUAGUGUAGCGGUGAAAUGCUUAGAUAUUACAUGGAAUACCAAUUGCGAAGGCAGGUUACUACAAAUGGAUUGACGCUGAUGGACGAAAGCGUGGGUAGCGAACAGGAUUAGAUACCCGAGUAGUC
rnacentral:rRNA from 1 species